rnacentral:lncRNA from 1 species
GUGAUCUUUGUAAAGUGAGGUGAAGGAGGAGUUUGUGUAGUGACAACACAAUCACACUGUGUGCAGAAAUAAAAACCUGUUCAACCAAAUAUUCACAUUUAGUUGGGGUAUGAGAAGAGGAGUGCUCAUCUGAAGUUUGUUGGUUUGACCAGCAGGUGGAGCUGCUGCAUUAACAAUAAACUGAGACUCAACCAACCAAACAAGUUCCUGUUUUAGUGAACUUUUACUUUGGACUCAGGAGAGGAAGGUGGCUGUCAAGAAUACUGAACUUAAAAGAUGAUGAAAAACUGUCAGUAAAUGAGGAGAAGAAUCUGUGAUCUGGUGGUUUAGGUUUCAGUGAAAACAGUCAGAGUGAAAGUGAAAGUAUGUGAGCUGAAAAACAGACUCCAUUUUGAGAAAAGAAGAGAGAGGAGAGGACGAGGAGACAGGGUGAGUGUUUACUCUGUUUUAGUUUUAAUGUCAAACUCUUUAUCUGUUUUAUCUGUUAAUGAAAAAAUGAUUUACUGACUAAAACACUUAAAAACUGCAAAACAAAGAAACCAGAGCAGACAAAGAGCUGGAUCAGUUCUUCAUACAGGAAGCUGUGUACGUGCAGUUCUUCCUCCUCUUUGUUUAGACUUGUCUUUUUGGUAAAAAUAUUAAUCAGAAUCUUUUUAGCGUCUCAUUUCAAAUUUAAUCCAGUCUCCUUAAGUUUUUUUCUGAGAGUUCAGGGACCUCACAGCUGAUUUUGUUUUGACCAUGAAUCAGACAAGGAUCAGAGAGAGGCCCUGCAGGGUGGGGAGACAUCAGAAGUUCUUGGAUAUUAAACCUGUAUAACUCUUAAAGAGGGGGAUGAAGCUGUUUUCAGACUCUGUACUUCCUUUCUGAUUCCUCUUUUAUUUCUGAACUCUCUCUUCCUGUUUGUGUCUCACCUGUUUGUCUUCUUUGUCCUCAGGUUGUAUAACUCGGUUUCAGCCUCCAUAAAUUUGCACAACAGAAGAUGGAGAAGAUGAGUGUUUGUGUCGAGGAAGAGGAGGGCAGAGCAGAGUCUGAUAUGUUUGACUGUCUGUCUAUGAAGAGUGACCGGUCUAAAGAUCCUCCACCUGGUCUUCAGUAAAGAACCAGGACCCCCAGAGGAGGACAGAACAAAGUCUGUUAUCUCCAGCUGUCUGUCUAUGAAGAGUGACCGGUCUAAAGAUCCUCCACCGGUCUUCAGUGAAGAACCAGGACCCCCAGAGGAGGACAGAACAAAGUCUGUUAUCUCCAGCUGUCUGUCUAUGAAGAGUGACCGGUCUAAAGAUCCUCCACCAAAAUUCAGUGAAGAACCAGGACCCUCAGAUUCACAGUAAGAGAAACACUUUUCAAUCACCAAACUCUCAAACAACAUCUGAUGUUUCAAAUACAAAACUUUAAAUCCUGACCCCUCUGUUUUCUCCUCUGUUCUCAAAACACUGAUUUUCCUCUUGAACCUGCCAACCUGGAUAAAAUUCAAUUCAAUUCAACUUUAUUUAUAAAGCCCAUUUCAUGUACAAGGCAGACUCAAUGUGCUUCACAACAGGUGUACAUAGUUAAAAACAGUUAUACAAAAAUCAAUUAGAAAUCAAUGUAAGAGUGUAAGUGCAAGUCAACUUCACUGCAUGCACACUUAAACUCGUACAUGCGCACGCACUCACACAUGGACACGUGCACACGUACACACAUACACACACAGUUUAAAAGAAUGCUAUAGAAACCUGUUUUUAAAGAUGGCUACUGAUGUGUCUAACUGUGUCAGGCAGGGUGUUCCAUUUUUGUGGGGCAUAAACACUCAAAGCUGCCUCCCCUUAUUUGGAUCUGGUGUGAGGGAUGAGUAAGUUGCCACUGCCUGUUGACCGAAGUGUUCUUGCUGGGGUGUAGGUGAUGAGCAUAUCUGUGAUGUACUGAGGUGUAAGGCCAUGUAGUGCUUUGUAAACCAGGAGGAGUAUUUUGAAAUCGAUUCUUGUCCUAACGGGUAACCAAUGUACAGAUUUGAGAACGGGUGUGAUGUGUUGAUAUUUUUUGGUACCAGUGAGAAUACAUGCAGCUGCAUUUUGAAUUAACUGUAACCUCUGAAGACUUGAUUUUGGGAGUCCAGUGAAUAAACUGUUACAGUAAUCCAGUUUACUUCUUAUAAAUGCAUGGAUGAAUUUUUCUAAGUCUGAUUUUGACAGAAAGCCCCUCAGUUUGGAGAUAUUUUUGAGAUGAUAGAAAGAUGAUCUUGAAUUAAAUCUUGUAAUGGAUAAAAGGCUGGUAAAGAAAAAGUCACUGAGCACAGAUUUACUUAUUAUUCUUGAUGUUUAUAAAAAUGAAGGGCAUAUAAAACAGCAUUUGAAAAGGAUUCUGACCUCUCGUAUUUUCUGAUUUGGUUCCUGUGUUUGGGACGUUUUGAGCCUGUUAGUCUUUGGACUGUGGUGUAUAGACCCCAGAAAACAGUCUGUGGGUCACAAAAUACCAGAAGACUAAAGAAGAAAUAAAUCCUGAAAAAUAAAAACUCAUUCAGAGCAUCUUUCUGUUAUUAGACCUUUAGAUCUGAUUGGUCAAAAAAAAAGUUUUAAACUGUCAGAGAAAAUCUCUCUACCUUCAAAAAUCAAAGUUUAGUUUUUUUCUCUUGUCAUGACACUUUCAGGCAGCAGCAGCUGAAUAUUUUACAGGAGAUUGUUUUAUGUUAGAGAAAAGAGAAACUCUGGUUUAAUAAAUGUUUCUUAUUCUGUAUCUUUCAAACAUGAAAUAAUAAAGAAAAGAAAUGUUCUUUAUUUCCACAGAGAGACACAGAGAUGUGACUCUGUGGAGGAGCAGCUGUCCAAAUGUUCUUUAUGUCAGGAUGUCCUGAAGGAUCCAGUCUCUACCCGCUGUGGACACCAGUCUACUUCUUCAGGAUACACCUCCUGUCCCCAGUGUGGAAAAAGAACCAGAACAGUUCUUGUCUUUCAGACAGACAGCCAGUCCAGCUCUGAUCGAAGUAAGUCUGAACACCUUUAAACCCUAAAUUAUACAAUUUCUGCCUGAAUUAUUUUGCUUAUUUUAGCCAUAAAAUUGGCAGAAAAUGUCUUAUGAGUGAGUGCUUUUUUAUUCAUUGGCUUUCAACCCUGCAUGAGACUCGGCUCCUGUUUUAGUGUUUUAUGGUUUGUUUUUAGUUAUUUGUUUCUAUGUUUUUAAAUUAGUUUUUAAAAUUAUUUUAACUCUAUUUUACUUUUUUAAUAUCUGCUUUUAUUUUUUCCACUGUUUUAAUUGUUUUUUUAUGUCUAUGCUUUUUUGUCUAUUUAUGUACAGCACUUUGGUUGGCUGUGGUUGUUUUAAAGUGCUUUACAAAUAAAGUUGAGUUUUACCCAUUUUUCCAGAGCACUUAAAACUUUCAAUAUCUGGCUGUCAUUUACGAUUUACUGUCUGUUAAAAAACUUUAACAUUGUAAGAUAAAGAAAAACACAAAAACGGAA